UACAGAGGUGGCAAGCGUUGUCCGGAAUCACUGGGCGUAAAGGGCGCGUAGGCGGCUGGGGAAGUCGGCGGUGAAAGCCCGGAGCUCAACUCCGGGUCGGCCGUCGAGACUCCUCGGCUCGAGCUCACUAGAGGCAGAUGGAAUUCCGGGUGUAGCGGUGGAAUGCGUAGAGAUCCGGAAGAACACCGGUGGCGAAGGCGGUCUGCUGGGGUGAGGCUGACGCUGAUGCGCGACAGCGUGGGGAGCAAACAGG
rnacentral:rRNA from 1 species